rnacentral:rRNA from 1 species
CUAUGGGGUUGAUAGGCCAGAACUGGAAGCGCAGUAAUGCGUGUAGGUGACUGGUACUAAUCGGUCGAGGGCUUACCACACA